rnacentral:lncRNA from 1 species
GCCCGGCGGUGGUUCAUGAUUGGUAUUCCAGCCCCGACUGUGUACCACAGGGUGAACCUAUAUAUUCCUCGCCUUGUAAGAGGCAUGCGCCGUCGCGCUAUCGCGCGACAAGCAACAGUAGCUGUACUGGUGUGUACGUUUACUAUUCGUGGAAAAAAACCAAAAAAAGUGAUUGGUUAUUGUCGCGUGCCGUGCGAGACGUCGUGUCCACCGGUCGCCAGUAGGAGGACAGGUAAUCUAGACUUUUGCCUGAAACUUUUUAUUAUGCUGUGUAUUGUUUUGUAAAUUACAGAUAAAUCGCACAUGUAACAGAUGUGGGAUUUAUGGAAUUUAAAAUACUAUAUAUAAACAAAGGAGUAUAUUCGUGCAUAACAGCCUCGCUAAGAAUCAGGUUGGACUGUUUGUUUUUUGGUUAGUGCAUCACUACAAUAGGUAAGCAUACAUUUUAAAAGAAAACAGAAGUCCACGAUUUUAUAUUUUUAAAUGGGUCCAGAGACCAUCUUGGUAUAGAGAGGGGCAUACAUAUGUUUCCUAAACACUUUAGUAAUUACUGUUGUAUUAGAGAUAGCAAUGUCAACAUUAAAAAAUAUGUAUUCGUAUCUGAUUGUUGUUCUAAGAAUGUAUAUAAUCCUCAGAUUUCAUUGUUAAACAACUGUUGUAAUAGGAUGUUGGCUAAUAUAAAUUUAUUACAAAUUAUGAAGAUAUCAUCAACAUAUCCUAAGAAUAAUUUAAACUAUUUUUUAGAGAAGUCAAGAUAGAUUUUUCGUUGUACCUGAUAACUAAUUCAGCCAUGAUACCUGCCAUUGGCCCCCUAUAGGUACACCAAUUAGCUGUUUAUAAAAAUUAUCACUAUAUCUAAAAUAGGAGUUAUGGGCUAUAAGAUGGCAAAGAUCACAUAUUACCUGUGGGGGAACUUUCAUGUCUUUGAUAUUCUUGAGGAGAAAUCUAUACAACAACAAACAUGCAGGGGGGUAUAUUUGUCAAUGGAUAUAGCUGCAAAUAAUCUGCCACAAUCAUACUAUCAUUAUGAGAACAACAUUAACAUUGAUUGACAGAAUGCCAAAAUGGUAUGAUCAUGUAAUGAUAUAUCACAAAUUAGAUAUGCUGAGGCUAUGAUCAUAAAACAGUGCUGGAGUAACUUGUGUCAUUUCAUUAAUGAAACCCUCCAGAGACUAUCCCAAUCCUGUGGGAUGCUUUAUAAUGAUAAAACUAUUAAAAAACUUAUAAUAAACUAUUAAAACUAAUAAUAAACUAAACUACUUUA